GAUGAACGCUAGCUACAGGCUUAACACAUGCAAGUCGAGGGGCAGCGGGAAGUCAGCUUGCUGACUUUGCCGGCGACCGGCGCACGGGUGAGUAACACGUAUCCAACCUCCCGCAUACUCGGGAAUAGCCUUUCGAAAGAAAGAUUAAUGCCCGAUGGUUUCAAGGGAUUGCAUGGUAUCUUGAAUAAAGAUUCAUCGGUAUGCGAUGGGGAUGCGUUCCAUUAGGCAGUUGGCGGGGUAACGGCCCACCAAACCGACGAUGGAUAGGGGUUCUGAGAGGAAGGUCCCCCACAUUGGAACUGAGACACGGACCAAACUCCUACGGGAGGCAGCAGUGAGGAAUAUUGGUCAAUGGCCGGAAGGCUGAACCAGCCAUGCCGCGUGAAGGAUUACGGUCCUAUGGAUUUUAAACUUCUUUUGCACGGGAGCAAUAAGGGUCACGGGUGGCCCGAUGAGAGUACCGUGCGAAUAAGCAUCGGCUAACUCCGUGCCAGCAGCCGCGGUAAUACGGAGGAUGCGAGCGUUAUCCGGAUUCAUUGGGUUUAAAGGGUGCGUAGGCGGUGGCGUAAGUCAGCGGUGAAAUUCACGGGCUCAACCCGUGCCGUGCCGUUGAUACUGCGUUGCUGGAGUACUGUCGCCGUGGGAGGAAUGUGUGGUGUAGCGGUGAAAUGCAUAGAUAUCACACAGAACACCGAUUGCGAAGGCAUCUCACGAGGCAGGGACUGACGCUGAUGCACGAAAGUGCGGGGAUCAAACAGGAUUAGAUACCCUGGUAGUCCGCACAGUAAACGAUGAUGACUAGCUGUCGGCGAUAGACAGUCGGUGGCUAAGCGAAAGCGAUAAGUCAUCCACCUGGGGAGUACGACCGCAAGGUUGAAACUCAAAGGAAUUGACGGGGGCCCGCACAAGCGGAGGAACAUGUGGUUUAAUUCGAUGAUACGCGAGGAACCUUACCCGGGAUUGAACGCAGUCUGACUGGGGUGGAAACACCCUUUCUAGCAAUAGCAGAUUGCGAGGUGCUGCAUGGUUGUCGUCAGCUCGUGCCGUGAGGUGUCGGCUUAAGUGCCAUAACGAGCGCAACCCUUGCCGACAGUUACUAACAAGUAAAGUUGAGGACUCUGUCGGGACUGCCAGCGUAAGCUGCGAGGAAGGCGGGGAUGACGUCAAAUCAGCACGGCCCUUACAUCCGGGGCGACACACGUGUUACAAUGGCGUGGACAGAGGGCGGCCACCUGGCGACAGGGCGCAAAUCCCGAAACCACGUCUCAGUUCGGAUCGGAGUCUGCAACCCGACUCCGUGAAGCUGGAUUCGCUAGUAAUCGCGCAUCAGCCAUGGCGCGGUGAAUACGUUCCCGGGCCUUGUACACACCGCCCGUCAAGCCAUGAAAGCCGGGGGUACCUGAAGUACGUAACCGCGAGGAUCGUCCUAGGGUAAAACCGGUAAUUGGGGCUA
rnacentral:rRNA from 1 species